rnacentral:ncRNA from 2 species
AAACUUCACAUGACGCGAGGUGCCCCAGAACCUGGGGAGAAUCGGGAAGCCGGUGCAAGUCCGGCACAGGGUCCGCUGCGGUGACCACCUGAGGGUGGAAGUCCGAAGACCGGCCUCGCGCUCAACCAGCCA